AGUACAAUAAUAAAGAUAUAAAAUAUUAUAAUUAUUAGUGUAAAUUAAUUUUUCAUCCUCUUGCAGAUUUUCAUAUUAUAAAGGAACAUUUUGUGUAAUUGUUAUAUUUUAUCACGGAUAUUUUGGUCAAAAAAACAACUUUCCGACGGGGCCUAAAAGUACUUUUCUGAAAAGCUCUAAAAUGGAGCUUCUCCCAAAAAGCUAUUUUUAACUUUCUGAAGCUAAAACAACUUUCCAAAUUUUUUAUCAAACAUCCCUAUUUUAUCUAAAAGAGCUUUUGGAAGGCCAAAAAGCAUCUAAAAAGUGUUUUUUAGCCCUCUAAAAGAUCUCCCAAACAGGGCCUUAGAGUCCUGGACUAGGUGGGAUUUCUAUAAAAGGGUCCUACUUUACAUAUCUGUUGGGUUGGCUAAAUGAUAAGGUAAAAGUUUUUGAUUAUUACUUUCUUGCUUGUUAAGAGGCCCGGUUUACUUGCAAGUCAUGUAAGAUCAUCAAAAGGACCUUAUGGCUAGCCACUAGAAGCACGGCACAUGAUUUA
rnacentral:lncRNA from 1 species